rnacentral:lncRNA from 1 species
UCCAUGAUGCUCUACAAUUGAAAGUGGAUAUUCGUGUAUGAUAAUUAUUUCCGUCAAAUUUUUUCUUGAUGCAUCAGCAUUAAAUGUAUAGUUUCAAACAUGAGUUGUAGUACCAUCCAUUUUCUUUUUUUCUUGCACCAAGAUAGAUUGACGAAUAUCUGAAAAUGGGUUGUGUAAACAACGUUUAAAAUGGACAAAUAAAUGUUUUGUACCUUUCUUGUUAUCCGCACCCAAUACUUUCUUGCAAUGAAUGCAUCUUGCUUUAACUUCACCAUUCACUUUAAAUCUUUUAAAACGGGGCAAUGCUGGUAAACAUGAUGCCCUUUUUGAACCGACCGCUUCGUCUUCGUCUUCACCGUAAGACCCUUUGAUCCAUUUAUUUCUUCGUGAAAAGUAACGAAGAGGAUUUCCGACUGUCCCUUUCUGUCUAAAACGUUAUAAAAUCAGGUUAGUUUUCCUGAUGAUGUAUACCCAAGAAGUGAAAAUGUAGGAUGGCACACAAUCAUUUUUGUAAAAAUGCUAACAUUUCAUAGUUUUCAGGAAUGGAUUAUUUUUUAUGACUAGAGCAAAACCAGUUUUGUUAAAAUCUAUUCUUAAAAAAAUACAUUAUCUACUUUGUUGUAAAUUGAAAACAACCACUAUUUAUUCCUAACAGAAAUCACAUAAGACAUUUAUGAUUUAUGUAUUUACUAAUUUACUAUAGAAAACUUGAGGGACUUGUUAUAUUUUACGGAAGUUGGAGGGUCUAUCUUGAAAUAUAUUUCUUUCCUAUUUUGACGAGUGACUGACCUGAAAAAUCACAAUCAUGUUUGGCUUCGAGUCUUUUGCUUAACUCACACAACACACAACAAGAAGAAAUCAUCAUCACCGAUUCAUCUGAACAGUGGAAUCAAGCAAUCAGACUCAAUCGCUUAAAGAAAUGGCUCGAGCUGGAGGAAUAACGAAUGCAGUAAACGUAGAGAUAGCGGUACAAGAUGCUUGACAGAAUCGUAAUUCUUGGGUUAUUUCACGAUUUUUGUUACGAAAUCAACACUGCUUUCUAAUCACAGAAACUGUAUAUGUUUAUAUUCAGCUUCUAGGGCUUGAAUACAAUUAGGCUUUUUUCAAUGUGGACAAUUGAAAAGUUGAACUCUGAAAUUGGUUGGAGCCCUAAUUGAAAGGGACUCUCCAAAAAUAGGCGUAUGCCACUUAAUGCAGCGAACACACGGUAUUCUUUAGUAAAAGGCGAAAGAAUAGUUCGCUUUGUGUUCACUGCGUAGCUGCUUGUCAUCUUAGUUACCAGCUGCUUGGUUUAUGUAAUGAGUUUGAUACCUUCUGUUUCAUUCAAGUAGCCGAUGUGGGAUGAGCCCCAUACUUGCAUCCCUCUGUAAUGUUUCAAACUCUUCUCCCACAUUUCUCUUCUUUUUCCCCUUCACUUACUUCCAUUUGGUUUUUGAUCUGUUUUUUAUGAGGUGCUCACUGUUCAUGGAUAUGGGUUUUGAUAGAAAUUACUAGAUAUUAUAACUGGAAUUAGAUAUUUUGUGAAAGAUUAUUUUUAGUAGACCAAAAAAAGAACAUUUUCGUGAAGAAAAACAGCAAUCUUAGGAAGUUAGAAUUUCAUAUUUUGGUAAAUGAAAUGGAUAAAUAGGUAAAAGUUCGUUUUACUUUUGGACAAAGGUAUUGUGAGAAUGGAUAAUGACUUAAACUAAGUCCUUUUAUUCAGCUCACUUAUCAAGGAGUCGAAUGGUUUUGAAUUUAGACUUCACACAUUGUUUUUCUUCAAACAGGUUUUCAGAUUUCAACAUUUCAAAACAAUAUGAUUCAUGACCUUCUUGACUUUCUUUCAAACAACAUGAGUUACUUUAUGAUUGUUACAUAAGAACUAUUGAAAACUUGAACUUUACAUAUUGAUUGGAGCCCUUCAAUAAGAAGGGACUCUCCAAAAAUAGGCGUAUGCCACUAUAUAUGGCAAGAACACGGUAUUCUUUAGUAAAAGGCGAAAGAAUAGUGCGCUUUGUUCUUACCACAUGGCUGCG